rnacentral:rRNA from 1 species
GAUGAACGCUGGCGGCGUGCCUAAUACAUGCAAGUCGAGCGAACAGACGAGGAGCUUGCUCCUCUGACGUUAGCGGCGGACGGGUGAGUAACACGUGGAUAACCUACCUAUAAGACUGGGAUAACUUCGGGAAACCAGAGCUAAUACCGGAUAAUAUAUUGAACCGCAUGGUUCAAUAGUGAAAGACGGUUUUGCUGUCACUUAUAGAUGGAUCCGCGCCGCAUUAGCUAGUUGGUAAGGUAACGGCUUACCAAGGCAACGAUUCGUAGCCGACCUGAGAGGGUGAUCCGCCACACUGGAACUGAGACACGGUCCAGACUCCUAAGGGAGGCAGCAGUAGGGAAUCUUCCGCAAUGGGCGAAAGCCUUGCGGAGCAACCCCGCGUGAGGGAUGAAGGUCUUCGGAUCGUAAAACUCUUUUAUUAGGGAAGAACAAAUGUGUAAGUAACUAUGCACGUCUUGACGGUACCUAAUCAGAAAGCCACGGCUAACUACGUG